ensembl:miRNA Mir3076 microRNA 3076
GCACAGGGGAAGCUCAGUGCCAGCCUCUCUCUUAGCCGCACUCUGGUCUUCCCUCGCAGA